GUUGCUAUUGCCACCCUCCCCACACUCCCCCUGCCACACAUCAAGCACCAAGACCUUUCCUGGGCACUUUACUUAAUCCCCGGGAUUCUUUAUAUAGGAAUUAAUCUUCUCGUCACAGUGGGAGAGCUGGGAGGGAGGGGGUACAUUUAUCUCUCCUGCUGAGGUCUAGAGUUGCAUUGCUGUGAUUAUUGGUGGUAGCAGUGUGCAUGUGUCUGGGGAUCUGUGUUUAGCUUCUUCGUUUCUUAAACGGCACAGGGGCAGCAGCAAGGCAAGUUGGCAGCUUUGCUUUCGAGCUGCUUUGUGUCUGCUGCUAGAAGGAGGGAGUGUGAGUGGGGAGCAGCAUGGCAGAACAAGAAGCCAGUGGCUUGCAAGUCCUUCUCUCCACCCUCCAGCACCUCGUGGCAGUGAGUUCUGCAGGCCACAGAAGAAAUAUUGAGGUUUGUGACUCUUGGGAAU
rnacentral:lncRNA from 1 species